GCCUGAAAACGGAGACGGCCGGGACGUGGGGCUGCGGGAGGGGCCAGCUCCCCGGGGGCGCCUCCCUGCGGAGCAGGAGCGCCCCGGACGCCACCUGAUCUCACUGGGGUCCCGAAAGGGGACCUGCGACCCCGCCCCCCUUCAAGCGACCCUUUUGAAGACGGGCGGGAAGAAUCUGGCUGCAGAAGCCUGGCUCCGAAGGAGAGCCAGCUGCUUUUUGCAGACAGGCUGGGGCCGUGGGCAGUGAGGAGGGCCGGCAGUUCCAGGGGGAAGACCUUUCCCUCCCGGGAGGUUGCACCUGGCUGCAGGCACUGCCUGGAGUGGAAGAAAGACGACCGGACAUAGCACUGAACACCAGCCUUUGAAAACAAUGCAAGCUUGCCCCUCCCCUGAUCCUUAUCUGCAGCCCUGUUUUUCACUCCCCAAACUAUAAAACUCUAAAACCGCCUCCCAAUCUCUGCUAAGGGGGUGGCACCGUCUUCAAGGCACUAGACUGCGGCGACCUUCCUUUGCCUGGCAAAGCAAUAAAGCUAUUUUUAUCCCUUCGCCCAAAUCCCUGUCUCCAAGUUCCCAUUCAGCACCGGUGAGCAGAGAUCAAAUUGGGGUGACAAGGUCAGGGCAAGUUGCUGUGCCUGAAGCGCCGUGGAGCCGAACAAAUCCACACAAUGGAGUUUGGAGCAGCGAAAGGUUUAUUACAGGCCAUGCAAGGAGAUUGCGGGGAGGUGGGGGGCGGGGGGGGGGCGGGGGCUUGCUCCUGCCCCAAAAGCCCAAACUCCCGAACAAAAUUGUAAAGCAUUUUUUAAAAAUUUUACUUUAUUUUAUAAUUACUUUUU
rnacentral:lncRNA from 1 species